UACAGAGGUCUCAAGCGUUUGUUCGGAUUCAUUGGGCGUAAAGGGCGCGUAGGCGGCGGGGUAAGUCGGGUGUGAAAUCUCAGAGCUCAACUCUGAAAUGGCACUUGAUACUGCUCUGCUAGAGGAGUGGAGAGGAGAUUGGAAUUCACGGUGUAGCAGUGAAAUGCGUAGAUAUCGUGAGGAAGACCGGUGGCGAAGGCGGAUCUCUGGGACAAGUUCCUGGACGGCUGAGGCGCGAAGGCCCAGGGGGAGCAAAACGGGG
rnacentral:rRNA from 1 species